AGAAACCAGAUUCAAGAAAGAUUUUAUACAGCUAGCUAGAAACAAAUAUAUAAGACCAAGGAAACGAUUUGAUUUCUGCAUCCCAAUUUCUUUUGAGUUCAGGGUUCCUUUUCAAACUUCUAAAUGCUUUAUAAAGUUCUGCGAACCACUCAUUUGUCCUUCCAAUUUCUAUCAUUUCCAUCUUAUAAGAAAACAGAUUAUAGAUGAAUAGGCUUGUACAUAUUCAGUCCUAUUACUUCCAUCAGAACAUACUAGUACUUUUUUAGCUUAGGUAGCUAGGAUGUCAUUCAUUCAAUCAAGCAACAACAAACUUUUCAGAUUUAACAAACCUUCUCAUUUCUCAAUACCAAUUCUUUUCUUCAUCUUCUUCCUCUCUCUCUCUUUCCAUCCCCUUGCUAUAUAUCUACUUAUUCACCUCCAACUCCUAAUGAUUCAUAUUCCACACAUCCAUCUCUCCAUUUUCUUUCAGUUAUAUUGUCUAAACAUGAUUUGUAUCCACAGCAAACAUAGUUGCCAUCAUAAAACCCCCCACCAUGAUAGACCACCUCACUCUGUGAUUAUCACUCUUUUGCUACUACUCGUAAUAUCGACAAAAUUCAUUGCUGCGGCCACUACAGGUAGAAGAAUACUGCAAAAACCAGUUAGCCCCUCCCAGG